UACGUAGGUGGCAAGCGUUGUCCGGAUUUACUGGGCGUAAAGAGCGCGCAGGCGGUCGUUCAAGUCGCGUGUGAAAGCCCCCGGCUCAACUGGGGAGGGUCACGCGAUACUGAUCGACUCGAAGGCAGGAGAGGGUAGUGGAAUUCCCGGUGUAGUGGUGAAAUGCGUAGAUAUCAAGAGGAACACCAGUGGCGAAGGCGAGUCCCUGGACAACACCUGACACUGAGGCACGAAAGCUAGGGGAGCAAACAGG
rnacentral:rRNA from 1 species